rnacentral:rRNA from 1 species
GAUGAACGCUAGCUACAGGCUUAACACAUGCAAGUCGCGGGGCAGCAUGGGGGUUGCUUGCCAUCCCCGAUGGCGACCGGCGCACGGGUGAGUAACGCGUAUCCAACCUGCCCUUCACCACGGGAUAACCGGCGAAAGUCGGACUAAUACCGUAUGUUGUCCAUUGACGGCAUCCGAUUUGGACGAAAGGCUUGGCGGUGAGGGAGGGGGAUGCGUCCGAUUAGCCAGACGGCGGGGUAACGGCCCACCGUGGCUACGAUCGGUAGGGGUUCUGAGAGGAAGGUCCCCCACACUGGAACUGAGACACGGUCCAGACUCCUACGGGAGGCAGCAGUGAGGAAUAUUGGUCAAUGGGCGUAAGCCUGAACCAGCCAAGUAGCGUGCAGGAUGACGGCCCUAUGGGUUGUAAACUGCUUUUAUGCGGGGAUAAAGUGGCCCACGUGUGGGCUUUUGCAGGUACCGCAUGAAUAAGGACCGGCUAAUUCCGUG